rnacentral:rRNA from 1 species
GAUGAACGCUAGCGGCAGGCUUAAUACAUGCAAGUCGUACGGGAUCCGAGGUAGCAAUAUCUUGGUGAGAGUGGCGCACGGGUGCGUAACACGUAUGCAACCUACCUUUAACCGGGACACAACCUCGAGAAAUUGAGGCUAAUAUCCCAUAACACUGCGAAGUGGCAUCACUAUGCAGUUAAAACUCCGGUGGUUAUUGAUGGGGCAUGCGCGACAUUAGCUAGUUGGUGAGGUAACGGCCCACCAAGGCUACGAUGUCUAGGGGUUCUGAGAGGAUUAUCCCCCACACUGGUACUGAGACACGGUCCAGACACCUACGGGAGGCUG